AGAGUUUGAUCAUGGCUCAGGAUGAACGCUGGCGGCGUGCCUAAUACAUGCAAGUCGAACGGGAUAUCUUGUAUUCGUACAGGAGAUUCCUAGUGGCAAACGGGUGAGUAACGCGUUGGUGACCUGCCCCGAAGAGGGGGAUAACUCCGGGAAACUGGAGCUAAUACCCCAUGUGGUCGUAUUGGUUAGAGACAGUACGAUUAAAGGAUACUUGUAUCGCUUCGGGAGGGGCCUGCGUCCCAUCAGCUAGUUGGUAAGGUAAUGGCUUACCAAGGCGAAGACGGGUAGGGGACCUGAGAGGGUGACCCCCCACACUGGAACUGAAACACGGUCCAGACACCUACGGGUGGCAGCAGUAGGGAAUAUUGCCCAAUGAGCGAAAGCUUGAGGCAGCAACGCCGCGUGCGCGAUGAAGGCCUUCGGGUUGUAAAGCGCUUUUCUGAGGGAAGAGGAAGGACGGUACCUCAGGAAUAAGCACCGGCUAACUCCGUGCCAGCAACCGCGGUAAUACGGAGGGUGCAAGCGUUACUCGGAAUCACUGGGCGUAAAGGACGCGUAGGCGGCUACGUAAGUCAGGUGUGAAAGCCCACGGCUCAACCGUGGAACUGCACUUGAAACUGUGUGGCUAGAGUCUGGGAGAGGCAGAUGGAAUUGGUGGUGUAGGGGUAAAAUCCGUAGAGAUCACCAGGAAUACCGAUGGCGAAGGCGAUCUGCUGGAACAGUACUGACGCUGAGGCGUGAAAGCGUGGGGGAGCAAACAGGAUUAGA
rnacentral:rRNA from 1 species